GAUAUACUCCCUCCGUCCAGAAAUAUUUGUCGGAGAAAUGGAUGUAUCUAGACAUAUUUUAGUUCUACAUAUAUUCAUUUUUAUUCAUUUGUACGACAAGUAUUUCCGGACGGAGGGAGUACUUG
rfam:Triticum aestivum genome assembly, contig: Triticum_aestivum_CS42_TGACv1_scaffold_604573_7DL